UACGUAGGGAGCAAGCGUUGUCCGGAAUCAUUGGGCGUAAAGCGCGCGUAGGUGGCCACAUAAGUCCGUUGUGAAAGUCAAAGGCUCAACCUUUGAAAGCCGAUGGAUACUGUGUGGCUAGAGUACGGAAGAGGCGAGUGGAAUUCCUGGUGUAGCGGUGAAAUGCGCAGAUAUCAGGAGGAACACCGGUGGCGAAGGCGGGUCUCUGGGCCGAUACUGACGCUGAGGAGCGAAAGCAUGGGUAGCGAACAGG
rnacentral:rRNA from 1 species